ensembl:lncRNA
UGCUCGGUCUGCAGGUUAGCUGCCAUUUACCUGUAGGUGGCUCUUGCAGAAGAAGACUCAAACAGCAGAGCGUUUUCCUCAUCUGCAGCACACAAAUGCUACAAAAGCAGAAACAACCCAGGAAGCUGUGGGUUUGCGAGUCUGCAUGGACAUGCACUGAGUGUGUUGAUGGUGCUCUGCCUUCCUUUAUUUCCUUCUCCUUGCUUGUCCAUAUGCUGCUCAGGAAUGGAAAGCUGCAUGUCCCCUAAUUCCCCAGAACGCAACUUAGGUGACUGGUGUCCUGAACAGGUGCUGCAGUUCCUUUGUGAAUAUCAAAUCCUGAAUUGCGUUGCUUCACUUGUGAAGGCCCAGGGCCUUUUUCUGGGGCCCUCGAGCAUAGAAGCAAAUGGCAGCGGGAGGCCUGAGUGGCUGGGAUGUAGCCUAAAUUUUAAUCUUGACUGCGAUGGUGACCUAAAGGCCUGCAAGUGAAGAAGGAUCCUGGGAUGGAACAAAGUAUCCUGACAGUUUUGAGACAGCCUGUAGUUGUGGUCUUCAAGCAGGGCUCCAGACUGUCCAAUGGGAAAGACGUGGGGGAAAGGGAGUGCUGGCAGGAGCGACUGCUGCGGCUGACUGGGGAGGGUCUGCAUCCCACGUGCCCUCCUGUGCUCUCUCUCCAGCUGCAGGAGGGCCAGAGAAGGGCAGAUGAAAAGCUGCAGCUGAGCCUGAUGGACCUGCACAGCUCUCGGGCUGUCUUCCAGAGGUAGCUGUGAUUUACAUUAGGUAGCUGUGAAAUACAUUAAAGCACGAAGAAGACAGAGGCUGAGUGAACACCAAUAUGGCGCUCUGCUUUCUGCCAACGUGCUUUGAUUUUGUUGUCGUUAAAUGUACUGGGCAGUUAUAUUUUGGUAUGUGAAUACUUAAAAACAGUGCAACAGAUGCUGGC